CCUACGGGUGGCAGCAGUGAGGAAUAUUGGUCAAUGGGCUUACGCCUGAACCAGCCAAGUCGCGUGAGGGAAGACUGCCCUAUGGGUUGUAAACCUCUUUUGUCAGGGAGCAACGCCGGCUACGUGUAGCCGGUCUGAGAGUACCUGAAGAAAAAGCAUCGGCUAACUCCGUGCCAGCAGCCGCGGUAAUACGGAGGAUGCGAGCGUUAUCCGGUGUUAUUGGGUUUAAAGGGUGCGUAGGCGGAAUGCCAAGUCAGCGGUAAAGUCGCGGGGCUCAACCUAGAUCGGCCGUUGAAACUGGCGUUCUUGAGUGGGCGAGAAGUAUGCGGAAUGCGUGGUGUAGCGGUGAAAUGCAUAGAUAUCACGCAGAACUCCGAUUGCGAAGGCAGCAUACCGGCGCCCAACUGACGCUGAAGCACGAAAGCGUGGGUAUCGAACAGGAUUAGAUACCCUUGUAGUC
rnacentral:rRNA from 1 species